rnacentral:rRNA from 1 species
CCUGGUUGAUCCUGCCAGUAGUUAUAUGCUUGUCUUAAAGAUUAAGCCAUACGUGUAUAAGUAUGAACUAAUUUAGACUGUGAAACUGCGAAUGACUCAUUAAAUCGGUUAUAGUUUGUUUGAUGGCACCUGCUACUCGGAUGAGUAAUUCUAGAGCUAAUACAUGCAACAAACCCCGACUUCUGGAAGGGAUGCAUUCAUUAGAUAAAAGGUCAAUGCGGGUUUUGCCCGAUGCUCUGAUGAUUCAUGAUAACUCGAUGGAUCGCAUGACCUUUGCGCCGGCGACACAUCAUUCAAAUUUCUGCCCUAUCAACUUUCGAUGGAAGGAUAGUGCCUACCAUGGUGGUGACGGGUGACAAAGAAUUAGGGUUCGAUUCCGGACAGGGAGACUGAGAAACGGCUACCACAUCCAAGGAAGGCAGCAGGCACGCAAAUUACCCUAUCCUGACACAGGGAGGUAGUGACAAUAGAUAAUAAUAACGAGCUCUUCGAGUCUGGUAAUUGGAAUGAGUAUAAUCUAAAUCCCUUAAUGAAGAUCCAUUGAAGGGCAAGCCUGGUGCCAGCAGCCGCGGUAAUUCCAGCUUCAACAACGUAUAUUUAAGUCAUUGCAGUUAAAAAGCUGAUAGUUGGACCUUGGGUUAGGCUGACCGGUCCGCCUUACGGUGUGCAUCGGUCGUCCUGCUCCUUCUGCCAGAGAUGCGCUCCUAGCCUUAACUGGCCGGGGCGUGCCACCGGCACUAUUAUUUUGAAGAAAUUAGAGUGCUCAAAGCAGGCCUACGCUCUGGAUACAUUAGCAUGGGAAAACAUAAUUAGGAUUCUAGUCCUAUUGUGUUGGCCUUCAGGAUCGGAGUAGUGAUUAAUAGGGACAGUCAGGGGCAUUCGUCUUUCACAGUCAGAGAAGAAAUUCUUAUAUUUAUGAAAGGCGAGCAACUGCGAAAGCAUCUGCCAAGAAUGUUUUCAUUAAUCAAAAACGAAAGUUGGGGCUCAAAGACGAUCAAAUACCGUCCUAGUCUCAACCAUAAACGAUGCCAACCAGGGAUCGGCAGAUGUUGCUUUUAGGACGCCGCAGGCACCUUAUGAGAAAUCAAAGUUUUUGGGUUCCGGGGGGAGUAUGGUCGCAAGGCUGAAACUUAAAGGAAUUGACGGAAGGGCAUCACCAGGAGUGGAGCCUGCUGCUUAAUUUGACUCAACACGGGGAAACUUACCAGGUUCAGACAUAGUAAGGAUUGAUAGACUGAGAGCUCUUUCUUGAUUCUAUGGGUGGUGGUGCAUGGCCGUUCUUAGUUAGUGAAGCGAUUUGUCUGGUUAAUUCCAUUAACGAGCGAGAUCUCAGCCUGCUAACUUGCUAGGUGGAGGUAACCCUUCACAACUAGCUUCUUAAAGGGACAAUGGCCUUCCUGGCCGCAAAAGUUUGAGGCAAUAACAGGUCUGUGAUGCCCUUAGAUGUUCUGGACCAUACGCACGCUACACUGAUGUAUUCAACGAGUCUAUAGCCUUGGCCAACAGGCCUCAGUAAUCUUUGAAAUUUCAUCAUGAUGGGGAUAGAUCAUUGUUUGUUGGUCUUCAACGAGGAAUUCCCAGUAAGCGCGAGUCAUCAGCUCGUGUUGACUACGUCCCUACCCUUUGUACACACCGCCCGUUGCUCCUACCGAUUGAAUGGUCUGGUGAAGCGCUCAGAUCGCUGCGACGUGGGCAGUUCACCGCUGGCGACUUUGCGAGAAGUCCACCGAACCUUAUUAUUUAGAGGAAGGAGAAGUUGUAACAAGGUUUCCGUAGGUGAACCUGCAGAAG